GCGGCCGCCAAGGACACUCAUGAGGACCAUGAUACUUCCACUGAGAAUACAGACGAGUCCAACCAUGACCCUCAGUUUGAGCCAAUAGUUUCUCUUCCUGAGCAAGAAAUUAAAACACUGGAAGAAGAUGAAGAGGAACUUUUUAAAAUGUAAGUAGGCUGAUGUCCCAGAAAUAGGACUCUUUAAGGUUGAGGUUACAACUUUUAUGGGUGUCCAGGUUUUGGCCUGACUUUUAAUCAGACUGAGGCUGCUUAAAGAAAGGGCCUAAAGUUGGUGACUAAUCCCACGUGGAAAUUUAACCCGUUCCUUUCAUGAAUCUUCACCAGAUGCCCUUGCUGCCCUGCAGCCAGUUGCAUGAAGGGCAUCCCAUCAUUGCUGCUCUGUCCACUGGCAUGGCGGCCCCACUGCCCUUUUUUGCCACUGGCUUCUGAGCAUCCAGGGGGUUUAAGUUGAGCAGGGGGUUUUAAGUUUUUGCAGCAUAGACUUCUUUGGCAUCGUGAAGCUUGUAAAUCCCCCACCCGGUGUCUG
rnacentral:sRNA from 1 species